AUUGAACGCUGGCGGCAUGCCUUACACAUGCAAGUCGAACGGUAACAGGGAGCUUGCUCCGCUGACGAGUGGCGAACGGGUGAGUAAUGUAUCGGAACGUACCAUUCAGUGGGGGAUAACGUAGCGAAAGUUACGCUAAUACCGCAUAUUCUGUGAGCAGGAAAGCAGGGGAUCGCAAGACCUUGCGCUGAUUGAGCGGCCGAUAUCAGAUUAGCUAGUUGGUGAGGUAAAGGCUCACCAAGGCGACGAUCUGUAGCGGGUCUGAGAGGAUGAUCCGCCACACUGGAACUGAGACACGGUCCAGACUCCUACGGGAGGCAGCAGUGGGGAAUUUUGGACAAUGGGGGCAACCCUGAUCCAGCCAUGCCGCGUGAGUGAAGAAGGCCUCGGUUGUAAGCUCUUUCGGUCCGGGAAAAUACGCAUCAGUUAAUACCUGGUGUGGAUGAUGGUACCGGAAUAAGAAGCACCGGCUAACUACGUG
rnacentral:rRNA from 1 species